rnacentral:tRNA from 1 species
GCCGUGAUAGCUCAGUGGUAGAGCACCUCCAUGGUAAGGAGGGGGUCCCGGGUUCAAGUCCCGGUCACGGCUCCA